CAGGCCUAACACAUGCAAGUCGAACGAGACCUUCGGGUCUAGUGGCGCACGGGUGCGUAACGCGUGGGAAUCUGCCCUUGGGUUCGGAAUAACGUUGGGAAACUGACGCUAAUACCGGAUGAUGACGUAAGUCCAAAGAUUUAUCGCCCAAGGAUGAGCCCGCGUAGGAUUAGCUAGUUGGUAAGGUAAAGGCUUACCAAGGCGACGAUCCUUAGCUGGUCUGAGAGGAUGAUCAGCCACACUGGGACUGAGACACGGCCCAGACUCCUACGGGAGGCAGCAGUGGGGAAUAUUGGACAAUGGGCGAAAGCCUGAUCCAGCAAUGCCGCGUGAGUGAUGAAGGCCUUAGGGUUGUAAAGCUCUUUUACCCGGGAUGAUAAUGACAGUACCGGGAGAAUAAGCUCCGGCUAACUCCGUGCCAGCAGCCGCGGUAAU
rnacentral:rRNA from 1 species